rnacentral:lncRNA from 1 species
UUUCUUUGAUGAUUUAUUAUAUGAGUUACAUAUGAAAGAGUCUUGAUUUCAUUUGUAUUUAGGCAUCAAAUAAUUAUGUAUAUUGAUUAAAGUUAGAAGCAUCAAUAAUUUAAAAUCAAAAGAGAAAAUAAUUAAGUAUAAUACACUACUUAUUCAACUAGAACUUUCUUAAUUUUUUGAUCACUAGUACCAUCUUUGUCAUAUAAUUUUGAGAAUCAAGAAUCUUUGAAGAAUUAAAGUAUAUGUGAGAAGUAUUUAAGUAGCUACCAAAACCUUAUUUUAAUUUUAGAAGGGGC